rnacentral:rRNA from 1 species
UGCCGAUGGCGAACGGGUGAGGAACGCGUGGACAACCUACCCCGGCGUGGGGGAUACCCGCCAGAAAUGGCGGCUAAUACCGCGUACGGUUCUCCGGCGAAGGGCUGGGGAAAGAAAGCAGUAAUGCGCGCUGGGAGGGGUCUGCGGCCGAUUAGCUAGUUGGUGGGGUAAGAGCCUACCAAGGCGUCGAUCGGUAGCUGGUCUGAGAGGACGAUCAGCCACACUGGGAUUGGGAACGGCCCAG